UAAAGAAGAUAACGGAGAACAAGACCAAAUAAAAAGCACGAGAGUAAAUGAGACUCACGCAACCCCCAACCCAAGGAACAAACGGAACUGUGGCAGUUGCGAUGCUUGGAAGUUAGAAGAGGGUUCAGAUUCCGAGAAAGGAAGAAAUGUACGGUGGUGGUGAAUCUGAAUCUGAUGACAGGCACAGUAACAUGGGGACGAGGGUGGGUGGUGAUGAUGAAGAACAAGGUUCGUUCAAGAGUUGGGCCAAACAAACGGAAGAGAGCUAUCAGUUACAACUAGCUCUCGCGCUUCGCCUUUCCUCUAACUCCGCUUCUUCUUCAGAUCACUCCGCCCAGACACUCUCACACCACUUUUGGGUGAAUGGUUGUUUGCAAUACUGUGACAAAAUUCUAGAUGGCUUUUACCUAAUCCAUGGGAUGGAUGCUUAUACAUGGACACUAAGUACUGAUCCGCAGAAUGUUGGUAUGAUUCCAUCAUUUGAAUCACUGAUGUCAGUUGAACCUGGUGAUGACUCAUCAAUUGUAGUGGUUGCUAUAGAUAAAGCCAGAGAUCCUGGAUUGAGAGAACUGCAAAGUAGGGUAGUAAGUCUCUCAAAUAACUGGAUUACUACAAAAGAUGCGACUGAUCAGCUUGCAAAUCUUGUUUGCAGUAGGAUGGGGGGAGUAUCUUCAAUGGAAGAUAAUUUAGGUACACGCUGGAAGGAAUGCACCCAAAUUCUUAAAAGCUGCCUGCAUUCUGUCAUUCUUCCAAUUGGAAGCUUACCCAUUGGCCUUUGUGUCCAUCGAGCAUUGCUGUUUAAAGUGUUAGCUGAUGUAGUUAAUCUACCAUGUCGUAUUGCAAAGGGCUGUAAGUAUUGUAGGAAGGAUGUGGGUGCUUCAUGUAUAGUGCAAUUUGGUUCUGAGAGGGAGUAUAUAAUUGAUUUAGUUGGAAGGCCUGGGGCAACAUGCCAACCUGAUUCUUCACUGAAUUCUGCAUCUUCAAUGUUGAUCCCUUCACCAUUAUGUCAUCCAAAGUUCAAGCCAGUUGAAACAGCUGAAUUUACAAAGACACUAGCUCAAAUGUAUUUCUUGGACAGUCAAGCACUGCAUCUUGUAUUUGAUACCACAUCAGGAGCUGCUGUUAACCAUAGUGAAAGAAUGGAUCUACAGAGAACUGAAGCUUUUGGGGCAGAUUAUGCUGGUGGAAACAGCCAUUUGUUUACUUUGAGUCCUGGUAUGGAGGAAUAUAUGUCCUUCAGUGAAGCAAACCAAUCUGUAAAGGAUUAUCCAAUUCAUGAAGUAGACCUUGACGAGGAGGAUCUGGAUAUUCCAUGGAGUGAACUUAUUUUGAAGGAGAACAUUGGGACAGGGUCAUUUGGAACUGUCCUUCGCGCGGACUGGCGUGGUUCUGAUGUUGCAGUGAAGAUUCUUAAAGCACAAGGUUUUGAUUCUGAACGAUUUGAGGAAUUUCUAAAGGAGGUCUCACUUAUGAGGAGCCUACGACAUCCAAACAUUGUACUUUUAAUGGGUGCAGUUAUUCAACCCCCAAAGUUAUCAAUAGUAACAGAAUAUUUAUCAAGAGGCAGUUUGUUCGAACUUCUGCGUAUGCCUAAUGUUGAAUUAUCACUUAGUGAGAAGCGUCGUUUGAGUAUGGCUUUUGAUGUGGCAAAUGGAAUGAAUUAUCUUCAUCAAAGGAGACCUCCCAUUGUCCAUAGAGAUUUGAAGUCUCCUAAUCUUUUGGUUGAUGAUUCGUACACUGUUAAGGUGGGUGACUUUGGGCUUUCACGUACAAAGGCAAACACAUUUCUUUCAUCUAAAACUGCAGCUGGGACUCCUGAAUGGAUGGCACCAGAAGUCAUACGAGGUGAACCAUCAAAUGAAAAAUGUGAUGUAUUUAGCUUUGGUGUAAUCUUGUGGGAACUAGUGACCUUGCAACAACCAUGGAGACAAUUCAAUCCUUCACAGGUUGUGGCUGCUGUUGGUUUCAUGGGAAAAAGGCUAGAGAUUCCAAGCCAUGUGAAUCCUCAAGCGGCUGCCUUGAUUGAGCUCUGCUGGGCCACUGAACCAUGGAGACGGCCUUCUUUCUCCCAUGUUAUGAAAUGUUUGCAGCAAAUAAUUGAUGAUGCUACAGGGUGAACAACUUCAUGCAGAUAAUCCACAAUCCGAAUACAUACGAGAAAUGGCAAUACUGAACAGGAAAAUAAAUGGGAUUUCAGUUUAUUCAGCAUUCUAAAAACGGUGAAUGAGGAAGGGACAAUGCCAUUAGCAACAACUUUUUCAUCUUCCAACCACUCUCCCCAACCCAUGGAAUGUUGCACGAGGUGGGUCCUCCUCCAUUUCUCACCAACACCUUCAACGACAUCGAAGACCCUUCCACCGAUUCCAUCGUUUCGUGUGGCAGAGCACGAAACAGUUUCGUCGUUUGGAACUCUCCCAAGUUCUCAACCACCAUUUUACAUCAUUACUUCAAACACAGCAAUUUCUCCAGCUUCGCAUGUCAUCUCAACACAUACGUAAGUAAAUUUGGCGGGACAGAAGCAUUUGUUGAAGACGAUAAAGAGAAGAAGGAACGUGACACAACCACAAAGUGUGGGUGGAGGUUGAACAGUUGAGGAGAGAUAGAACGGUGUUGAUGGCUGAAAUUGUUAAGUUGAGGCAGCAAUAGAACAAUUCAAAGGAGCAAGUGUUGACCAUGAAAGCAAGGUUGUAAGCUACUGAGAAGAAACAUCAAUAGAUGAUGACUUUUCUUGUUAAAGCACUUAGUAAUCAAUCUAUUGUGCAACAACAACUACAUAGGAAUGCUCAGAACAGAGAAUUGUAGGGUGUUAGGAGAAAGAGGAGACUCACUGCUUCUCCUAGUAUGGAGAAUUUGCAAUUGGAUCAAGAUCCUGUGAUUGCUACAAUUCCAUUUAAGAACAAGAUGUAGAAGAGUUGGCAACUAUUGAGUCCCAUAUGGAGUCUUUUUUUUUUUUUUUCUUAUGACGAUGAAUUGAGCAAUCAAAUCAAAGACCCAAUAUCGGGUUUAGUAUCAAUUGCAAGUGUGGAUGAUGUAAUCUUUUCUAUUCCUUUAUUCAUGAUUUCUGCUUAAAGCGAAAAUCGCUUAUUCACUUAUGGGAAAAUAAAACUAGUCUGUUUUUG